rnacentral:rRNA from 1 species
GGGGGGGGGGGGGGGGGGGGGGGGGGCGGGCGGGGCGGGCGGGCGGACGAGGAGCUUGCGUCGCUGAUGGUAGCGGCGGACGGGUGAGUAACGCGUGGAUAACCUACCUAUAAGACUGGGGUAACUUCGGGAAACCGGAGCUAAUACCGGAUAAUAUUUUGAACCGCAUGGUUCAACAGUAAAAGACGGUCUUGCUGUCACUUAUAGAUGGAUCCGCGCUGCAUUAGCUAGUUGGUAAGGUAACGGCUUACCAAGGCAACGAUGCAUCGCCGACCUGAGAGGGGGAGCGGCCACACUGUAACCGAGACACGGUACAGAAUCCUAAGGGAGGCAGCAGUAGGGAAUCUUCCGCAAUGGGCGAAAGCCUGACGGAGCAACGCCGCGUGAGUGAUGAAGGUCUUCGGAUCGUAAAACUCUGUUAUUAGGGAAGAACAUAUGUGUAAGUAACUGUGCACAUCUUGACGGUACCUAAUCAGAAAGCCACGGCUAACUACGUG